rnacentral:snRNA from 1 species
GUGCUCACUUCAGCAGCACAUAUACUAAAACUGGAACAAUACAGGGAAGAUUAGCAUGGCCCUUGCGCAAGGAUGACACACAAAUUUGUGAAGCAUUCCAUAUUUUU